AGCGCAGGCAGCGUUCUUCAGAAGCGACAGUCGUGUCACCAUGGUUGCAGUUUAUGCCUUUUUGUAAUUUUUUAUUUUAUUUCAUUGCCAUUCAAAUUAAAAAACAAAUUCAAACCCAAACACAUUCCAAUCAAUAACGUUCAUCAUUAAUUCAUCCUAUGGAUCUGAAAAGAUGCUUGUCGGAUCAAAUAAUAAUUUGAUCACCGAAAUAUCAAGGCAAAUGAUACCGGAUGAUCCUUUCAGGCCGCGCCGGUCCGCUUUGAAGCGGUCUUGGAGCACCGUGGGACCGUUUCCUCGUUCCCUUUGGAUCCAUCCAAGUGUACCGGAGGAUGACUUUGACCGAAUCUGUGUCAAAAUAUGGAGAGACUCGAAGAAAGCUGAAUUUGGAAUGUGGCCACAUAUGGAGGAGGACAGUAUGACCCCAGCUAAUGAACACCCACAGGCCCCACGAGCCCCACCGGCCCAGGACCGGCGCGCAGAAGAGGAUCCGGUCCCCACUGUGAGGCCUCAAAACAUCCACUGCGAAGUCCGAGACAAUGCGUGUCUUGUUACACGGUGGAAACCUAUGUUUAUCAAAAUCACGGAUCCAAGGCUGGAUGAGAUCUCUCUGAUGGUGGAGAGGGAGUUCCAGACUUUGACGUCACAGACAGAGAAAGAUCGACAUGACCUCUCCGUCUCCUCUCAGCGCCCUGACGAUGUCCGGUGUGACGACUGUUCCCAUGGCGAUGACCCCAUAUGGGAGACACAGGUGGAGAAGAAGAAGGAGGAGGAAAAGGUGAACCCAGAGGAGGAGCAAAGGAGGGACAUUGCCAAGUACCUCAGGGGCCUCCUGAUCCCAGGGCAGGAGGGUAGAGGGGAGGACAGUUCCAUCAUGGUGGAACCUCUCCAUAUUCCUAACCCUUACCUGUUGGACUCCAUCCUGCUGAACCCUGACCUCGGUGCUAACCUCUCCCAUUUAGUUCCUGACUUGCUCCCUGAUCUCUCAUCCCUGCUCCCCAACCUGGCCCCCAACCUGGCCCCCAGCCUGCUCCCCAACCUGGCCCCCGACCUGGCCCCCAGCCUGCUCCCCAACCUGGCCCCCGACCUGGCCCCCAACCUGGCCCCCAACCUGGCCCCCAACCUGGCCCCCAAGCCUGGCCCCCAACCUGCUCCCCAACCUGCUCCCCAACCUGGCCCCCAACCUGGCCCCCAGCGAAGACGACUUUCCCCCUCUGCCGAACGCCGCGUCUCCAUGGCAAGGUGACAGGCUGUGGCAGGGCUCUCCGCCUGCCAACCUCCCCAAGCCUCUCAUCCCCAUCCCUGGCCCCUUCAACCUUCUGGGCAAAGUACCUGCCUGUAUCAAGGCCUCAGCUUCAGGUCCAGCCUCAACUCCUGUCCCAGUCCCAACUCCAGCCAAGGUCCCAGUCAUCCAGGUCACAGCCACAGCCCGUUCUUCAACUCCAGCCCCAGCCAAGGUCCCAGCCAUCAGGAUUACAGACCCAACCAAGGCCCUAGCUUCAUCUCCAUCAACAACCCAACAGGAGCUUUAUGACCUGAUGGCUGACUUCCCAGCCCUCCAGCCCCAGGGGAAAGCACCUCCACUGGGCUUACAGCAGCCUGCCAAUGCCCCGUGCCGGGCUCCAACCAUCAAUGUGGAGCUACUUCUCCAGGACCUGCCCUACAGCGCCUUGUUCAAGGCCCAGGAAGGUGACCGGGAGCUGGGCAGACAGGAUGGUAAAAGAGGGGUCAAGGGACCCAAGAAGAUAGAGUCAGAACCUGAGGAGCAACCUCGGGACAUUCCCAUUGUUACUGAUGAUGUUGACCAGUGGCCUGAGAUCAUCACUACCAAGCAGCCUGUAUUCACCCAAGCAACUCAACAGGUUAUAGCAGAUGGUGCCAGCGCGUGGGUUGGCAGUGCCAACGACAGAGUGAGGAGAGCAGCUGCCCCCCUCCUCCAGAAAGCCAGGCCCCUCCGCAGCCCCCAGGAGGGUCCAGAGAGGAGGCAGACGACACCCCCCGUGGUCCUUACCGCCCCCGCUGCAGCCCCCACCAUUGCCGACAUUGCUGCAGCUUUCGCCACCAGCACUGCCGCCAAUGACCUGCCUCAGGAGAGCAAAGCCGCCCCCCACCAGCAGGCCCGUUCCCCUUCCCUCCCGGACAUCCCACCAACCAACCAAUGGGGAUCUCAUCGUUAUGCUGGGUUCCGCCCUCAGAAUGCCCAUCGGCCUGGCUUCACCUGCCCACCCCAGGGCUGUGAUGUCAGGACAUCCGGGAUGACAACUAGAAUGUCCCUUGACCCUGGCUGCAUGUCUGGGGACGGACACUCCCAGAAGCCCAUGCCUCACCUGUACAGCGAGACUUUAGUGGAGCGAGUGACUGCAGUGGGUUUGGGAAGCCGGUGUCCGGUAAACGCACCGCCAGGAUUCACCCGGGCCGACCGAGGUCCCAAACGGAACAUCUUCUAACCCAACGAGACGGCGGCCAUUUUAAAUGAUUCGUCUUCGAUUUUGGUUUAUGUUUCUUUUUUAAAAAAAUAUUAUUGUUUAAUUAGUACAUUAAUUAGUUUGCCUCUGUUUUUUAGCUUUGUAAUAAAUACUUACUUUCCUUUUUGUUGGUGUUCUUACUUUAGAUUGGAGCGAAUAAUGUUAUAAAAUAAAUUCAACCAUCUCUAUUUUAACUUUGUAAUGAAUGUUUUUUUAAAUGUUUAUUUUUAUACAGCUUGAUAUGAUGAAAAAGCAGCUCAGAUAUAGAACAUGUACAAAUGGACCGUAACCAUUGGGUUCUACCGCGCUGAUAUACCGUGCAUUAUAGGGAAAUGACGCACGCUCUAGAAUGCCC
rnacentral:lncRNA from 1 species